UCCAAGGUAGGGAGGCACCACAGGUGUCUCCAGAUUCUCAAUAAAAAAUACAAAUAUUUAUAUUCGGUCUCGGCUCCGUGAGCGAGCCUCUCCGACAGACAUUUAAUUUUCUUACGUAAUGCUUUUAAUGGCAGAGCAGUGCAGGCCUGUACCCGUGGUAGACGUUUGACCUUUUCUGCAUUCUCCUCGCUAGGCUCUCCUCAUUUCUAAAUUUGCUCGAGAAGGCGGCUAAAGCUCUCCGCGUCAACAGCUGGCCAGGAUGAGGAGGUGGAGAAUUCCACCAGUAAGGAUUAUGAAAAAUGGAUUUAAGAUAUAAGUCCUUCAUCGCCACAGCAAGCAAGAUGAGAACUGGAGCAAAAAUGGAUGAAGGGCACACUCCCAACAGCCAGCAUUUUUCUGUGCCCUUGUCAACUUGCCAACUUUGGGUUUGGCACACCACAUCCAGCAUGCUGCCAUAUCAGGCAGAAACUAUCGGAGGUAAUAUAGAUCCAUCUCCGCCUUCCAACCCGGUCAAAUGACAGAGGAAAUGGAUAACGGACAGGAAGCAACCACAGCGUGUUCCUCAACUGAUCCUCAACUGACGGUAAAACUGCAUUUUUACAAACUGCCAUCCUGACACUGAGUAAACAUCGUGUUACGAUUUCCAAGCAAAACAAAUUUUCAUUUGCAUAGGACCAGGAAAUAGCAGUUUGUUCUACUUAUCCUAACCGUUACUUGUUAUCUAUUAGACCUAGGCUACCUUCUUUUACCAGCAUACUUAUGGACUUAUGGCAACAAUAAAAAAGACUAAAAUAAAACUCCUCGGAUCAGGCUCCAAUUAAAUUCCUAUGAUCCACAAGACUACAUUUUCCUCUGGUGAAUCAGUCACAGCUGAAAGUCUUUGGCCAGUAUUUUCGGAACAGUGGUCACACACUAUUUUAAUAUGCCCAUCUUGCACAUGGAAGUCUAUUUGACAUUCAGGGAAUGCACAUGUUUUCCAUUCCACAAAUGCCACCACUUCAGUCUUUAGGCCUUUCCCGCUGCAUCUGCUACUGUUUGCCACGAAUAAAAAAAAAUUCACGAAAGCAGGAAAGCUUUGAAUGAAUCCCAGUCUUUCAAGUUACUGAGGAGGAAUUUAUCAAGAUUCCAUCUCAUGAAAGCUCAUUAAAACUCUCUUCGUAAGUCCUACAGCUAAUGUGUUUGUGACCUUUAUCUUGAGAAGAUAAAUUCUCUGCAAAUUUAAAUAUGUUUAGGACAUGUUGAGAAAAAAAAAUAAUUCAGCUCCCACUGAAACAACAUUAGAUCAUUACAGUUUUAAGCACUUUUGAGCUUUCAUAAAACAUGAGAAAUGUCUUCAAAUUGUUUUUUUAAAUCUUAACUUUGCAAAAAAGAAAGAAUAAAUAUACAUUUUUAAAUAAACAGAACCGUUCCAUCUCCAGACAGGAGGCACCAUAUUUUGUUGAAAGGUUCUCAUAUUUAAAGGAAUGCAUGGGGCCAAAUGUCACCUUAGCUCUUGACAUACAGAUCCAGGGCACGCCCUCAGAUUGCACCCGCCUCCUCUAUGGUCACUUCCACGCAUCUCUGCUCAACUGUUUCUGACCACUGCCCUACAAGAGCCUCUGUGGCUCAGUGUUACCCAAAGCCUCCGACUGUUUCAUCAUGCAUACAUUCCAAAUCUGUGCGCAAGUGGAUUACUGAAAUCUAAGUCUCGAUGCAGAGUCAUCUUUAUCCACAAAAACACUGAGAUCAUUUCGAUUUGCCAGCUUUGCACCCC